UCGUCCGGCUUCGUGCCGCCCGGGCUCUCUGGUGGACCGCUGCCCUCCGCGGCGCUCAGCCCGGCUUCGCCGCCUAGCACACUUGCCGUCCCCCCGGGGCGCGUGCUCCCGGGCCCCUCCCCGCUCCCCCUGCUUCCCCCGCCUGCCUGCUGCAUCCUUGCCCAGCCCGCCUGCGCCAGCCCAGCCCCUGCUCCCUCCCUGGUGCACCGAAUCAGGAAAAGUUGUCGGAAAGUAGUGAAAGGGAAACCUCCCUAACGUGGACCGCUCGCCUGCCAGUUAGAGGAAGGACUGAUUAGAGACCCCAACGGGAGAAGCUUCCAGAAGAAGGAAGCAACAGGCCCCAACGGGACAAGAUGUUGGUGGUGUCCUUGAGCAACCCCUGCAAACCGGGCCAAUGAGAAACCCUCAUCACCCUGAACCUUGCUUUUCUGCAACUAUCCCUUCAAAGCAGCCUCCUUCUAGCUGAAAUAAUGGGGUCCUCCCGUUUGUUGGACUUGCCUAGGGUCUUGCCGUAGCUUGCAGGUCCUGAAUUGCAGUGCCUUGCCAUUCCCGAGGAAAUGCAUUGGGCUGACAACAUAACUUGCUGUUUUAUCUUCCAGGUCAAUCAAGUUUUUUGAGUUUUUUUGUUGUUGUUUUGUUUUAAGAUUUAUUUGUUUGAGAGAAACCACAGCAUGAAAGCAUGGGGAGGGGCAGAAGGAGAGAGAGAGAGAGAGAGAGAGAAUCCUCAAGCAGAUGCCCCACUGAGCUUAAGAAGAACUGGGGGCUUAUCCCAGGACCCUGAGAGCUGAAAUCAAGGAUUGGACGCUUAACAGCCUGAGCCACCCAGGUGCCCCAAGGUCAGUCAAGCUUUAGACGGAAGAAAUUUUAAGCUACCCAAACAAAUUUUAAGCAACCCAACAAAUGAGGUUGCAUUUGUUCCUUAACACUCCCAGGAUGGAGAGCUCAUUCUGUUGCCAUGCAGCCUUUUCCAAAAUUGAGCAACCCUAAUCACCAGAAAAUUUCUUAAGCCAAGGAUGUUGUCGCAAAGACCAGAUAUUAUGGAAAAUAGUACAAGCUGAGGAUACCCAGGACUCAUAAUCAGCAAACCCAAAGGAGAUCUGUGAAGGCUCAAGUCUGAUUAAACUUUAAGAAGUGAGGACCUUUGCAAGAAACUGUCAGACUUUCUAGAUAAUGAUCCUUUCACCACUGAUCACAUCAAAAAGGCACUUGCCAACAAAGGCUCGGCCCUAUGGAUCUCUGAACAGAGAUUCUCCAUGGCUUGAACAUAACAAGCAGCACAUGCCAAGGGGCUCGCUCUGACUGGAGUGAGUCCUUAUCUCAACUGCACACUCCCAGACAGACUUUGAUUUUGGUUCAUUAACUUCCUACCCCUUAUUGUAGCUUGUUUGUUGGGUGACUUUGUUGUCUUAGCUUUGCUUAGGUAUGAUAUAUGGGAAGCUAAGGUAAACAUGUGGCAAAAAGUCAUUGAGUUUGAAAUCCUGAAACUGCUUUACAAUUAUGUCAACCUUGCUUUAUGACUAAAUAAAGCUGACACUGUGGAAAGACAGGA